UGUGCCUAAGGACAUGAGUCCCAAGAGAUACUCCCUGAAAAGGGCUCUUUGGUCUAAUGCAGCACUCCCUGUCCUGACAGACUGACAAGGCACCUGGGCAGGGGAAAGGCUCUGAAAAGAUCAAAAGAGAUUAAGGAGAAGUUUACUUUUUCUUUUUAACCCAGGUUUCUCUUCAUACAGGUUAGGCCAUAGGAUUUCUCUUCAUAGGACCACUUAAUGGCUUGCUGCUUGGAACGCAGCCUUUGCAGAAUCAGCGAGGACAGACUCUGGCCCCCAGGCCUCAGCGUUCAUUGCCCUUAGGUCACUUAGCUUCAGUUCCGAGAACCUAUCAACGACAUUGAGGAUUUACUAUGCCACAAACAAGGUGCAGACCCUGAACUAUGUGUACACUCCUCAGUGCUCUCUCCCACUUCUGGUUGCUAAACACGAACCAUCAUUGGACCAAGUCUCAACCAAGCAGAACUGUAGGUCGCUAGAGUUUAAAUGACGUCAUGUAUCAUGAGUCAGAAGACCUGGGCUCCAGUGUCAGCUUCAACACACACCAGCCACGCACCUUUGGCUUCAGAAAAACACUAACAUCAAAGCCUGGCACAGUCGCUGGCACUGUGCAGGCCCCCAGUGAGCGGUGAGCGUUCAUUGGUGCUAAAGCGACCAGGGCCUUUGGUGAGAGACCUGUGGAGUACUGAUGUGGUAAGACGUGGAUCUGCGUUGUCAGCCCUCCUGCCAUUAGAGCCAUCUUGCUGAUUUAAAGCGAUGCCAGUGCUCAGGUGUCACAGCAGGACAAUCAAGUGAGAAUCUCAGUGGGCUGGGGCCCAGGAAUUGCCUAUGUUGUAAAAGUUUUCCAGAUCAUUCUACUGUGUACUGGGGCUGAGAACCACUCAGGCAGGUCAAAUUUUUUUUUGGGGGGGGAGUAAAUUUCUUCUAACUUUUCCCUAAUUAAUUUUUUUCAUUUUACAGUCAUUACAUUAAUAUCAAAUAACCUAGGCUUCCUUCCUAUGAGAUUUAAUGCAGGCAUUUGCCCAUCUUUUAUAAUUCUGGUAGUUCUUCUCCCCUCUCUCCAAAUUUUUUUUACCUUCUUUUCCUUUCCACUUUUAUUUAGUACAUUUUAAUAUUCAAUAUAAGAAAGAUAGAGAUCUCGAAGGUAAUGAAGUUUUGCUCUCUUAGCCUUUGUUCUACCAACUGGGUUUAUUAUAACCUAACCCUUUAAUCACUAGUACGGAAAUUGGCCCUGGAAAUGGUAGCUGGCAAGUACAUGUACACAGUUAGUGAGGGGCCUCUCUUACAAAUGCUAUUUGUAAUCCAACAAACAGUGGCUUUGGGACUUGAAAAAUUCAAUGAGAGAGCAGAGUUAAUUUUAAAAGCUAUUUAAAGUUCAAGGAGUUUUUGCCUUCAAAGGCAAAGCAAAGUUAAAUUAAGGGGUUUAAAAUCAUAGUUCUGAGUGUGAUGUUUUUAAAAAGACAUACUUUUAUAACUAGGUUAGGGUACAGUUUUGCCUAAGAUUAUAAACACUGCUUUUUAAUCUUUUUUCUUGUUUUUAUGACUCAUGGGUAAGAACUACCAGAAUUAAAGGCCUUUUUGGUGUUCUUUUGUAGUAAAACACUGUAUUCUUUCCAUAGUAAAUAAAACAACCUCAAAAAUUAUGAUCCCAGUUGUAAGAUAAAUAGAUGGAUAAUUAGAGUGGUUUUAAAAAGAAUUGUCCCACACAACAACAUAAACAAGAAAAUGUUAAUUUAGUGAAUAAAAAUACUCUAUCGGUAGAACAUAUAAUUUGAGAAAAUAUUUGUUCCAGAGGAACUAGCAUUCCUAGAAAAGCAUGAAAAAUAUCUCACUUCAAAUUAUAAACAAAUACCUAUGUAAUAAGUUUAUUAGAUAUAAAAUAAAGAGAAAACUUGACUGUUUUGCUAAGGGAAAAUAAAUCAGUCAAACUACAUCAUUCAGAUCACUCAGAUGUACUCUUAAUUGAAUUUAAGUUAGCAAAAUAAUUACCUGCUUUAAAUUUAUUUUUACAUUUUAUCAUAUUAUCAUCAUUCUUUUUAUUACUAUGUAUAAUUAUAGUGUCACUGCCCAGUAAAUAAUUGAUUUCAAAAUUUAAAAGUAUACUUAAAAGUAUACUUAAAUAAGAAAUAUCUUAUUUCUUGUUAAGAUUAUAAAAUUUUUAAAUGAACACAUUAAACUACCUAGUUGUUUGGUUAAUAUUUACCCAAGGAAAUACUUGAAGGUAAACAAACUUAAAAACUAAAGAUUGAAUUAGUUUGUUUACAUGAAUUUAUGCUUUAUUCUUUGUUUUUCCUCCUAAUUGCAAUGUUUGUACAUAAAGUAAAUGAACUAAAUUUUUAAAAAUUUUGGGAAGUUAACCAGAAAGCAUGUCUGCUGUCAUGUAUUCACACUGCUGUGAUUGUACAUGUAUAACAAAAGUAUUAAAUGGGUAGAUUUAGAAAAAGAACAGCCAUGUUACCUGUGAAAUUAAUGGGGGAGUUCUAUUCCCAUGACAUGUUAUUAUUGGAUUUUUACUCCUGAGUAUAAAUUUUAAGUUUUAAUCCUUUUCUUUUCUUUCAUUGGCUCCUCCUUUCUCCUCCCCUCUUCCCUUCUUCUUUUCCUUCCUCCCUCCUUCAUUUCUCUUCCUUUCCUUUCCUCCCUUUCUUCUUCCAUAAAACAUGUAGUGAGUUGAUGCUAUGCAAUGUGUAUUGUGUCAAGUCUGGGGAC